rfam:Triticum aestivum genome assembly, contig: Triticum_aestivum_CS42_TGACv1_scaffold_406962_5BL
CAACUACUCCGUCUGUCCCAAAUUUCUUGUCUUAGAUUUGUCUAGAUACGGAUGUAUCUAAUACUAAAAUGUGACGAUACAUCUGGAUCUAGACAAAUCUAAGACAAGAAUUUUGGGACAGAGGGAGUACUUU